GAUGAAGAACGUAGCAAAAUGCGAUACUUGGUGUGAAUUGCAGAAUCCCGUGAACCAUCGAGUUUUUGAACGCAAGUUGCGCCCGAAGCCUUUUGGCCGAGGGCACGUCUGCCUGGGCGUCACGCAUCGCGUCGCCCCCCACAAUUCUCCGUAAAAGGAACAUGUGUUUUGGGGGCGGAUAUUGGUCUCCCGUGCUCAUGGCGUGGUUGGCCGAAAUAGGAGUCCUUUCGAUGGACGCACGAACUAGUGGUGGUCGUAAAAACCCUCGUCUUUUGUUUCGUGCUGUUGCUCGCAAGGUAAACUCUUUAAAUACCCCAAUGUGUCGUCUCUUGACGACGCUUCGACCGCGUCCCCAGGUCAGGCGGGACUACCCGCUGAGUUUAAGCAUAUCAAUAAGCGGAGGA
rnacentral:misc_RNA from 1 species